CGCCGCCUCCGUGAGGCUGAAGAGGGAUGGGGGGGCCCGGGCUGCUUCUCCCGGGGCUCCGCACGGCUCCGGGCAGCGGGGCGGGCUGCGGACGGGCGGCGUGAAGCGGCUGGAGCGGCCCCGCGUGCCCCCGCCCCGAGCGGGGAAUGAGAGGCGGCCCCGCGGGGCUGCCCGCCGGGACGCACCAUGCGGGAGCUGGCGAUCGAGAUCGGCAUUCGUGCCCUGCUCUUCGGGGUCUUCGUUUUUACAGAAUUUUUGGAUCCAUUCCAACGAGUUAUCCAGCCAGAAGAGAUCUGGCUGUAUAAAAAUCCUUUGGUGCAAUCAGACAACAUACCUACACGUCUUAUGUUUGCAAUUUCCUUCCUCACGCCACUGGCAGUCAUUUUUGUGGUCAAAAUAAUCCGGCGAACAGACAAGACUGAAAUCAAAGAGGCUUUCUUAGCUGUUUCCUUGGCUCUAGCUCUGAAUGGCGUCUGCACAAAUACUAUCAAAUUAAUAGUGGGAAGACCGCGUCCCGAUUUCUUUUACCGCUGCUUUCCAGAUGGAGUAAUGAACUCUGAAAUGCACUGCACAGGUGAUCCAGAUCUGGUGUCUGAAGGCAGAAAAAGCUUUCCAAGUAUCCACUCUUCCUUUGCGUUUUCAGGCCUUGGCUUUACCACCUUCUACUUAGCUGGAAAGUUACAUUGCUUCACGGAAAAUGGCCGGGGGAAGAGCUGGCGGCUUUGUGCAGCGAUCCUCCCACUCUACUGUGCCAUGAUGAUUGCCCUGUCACGUAUGUGUGAUUACAAGCAUCACUGGCAAGAUGCUUUUGUUGGAGGGAUCAUUGGCCUCAUUUUUGCUUAUAUUUGCUACAGACAACACUACCCUCCUUUGGGUAAUACAGCGUGUCAUAAAUCUUAUGUCAGCCUGCUAGAUCAGAACUCUGUGAAGAAAGAAGAGAGACCUACAGCAGAUAGUGCUACUGGCCUGCCUCUAGAGGGAAUAACUGAAGGUCCUGUAUGACUUUAAGAAAUGUGCAGAACGAACUUUUAGCCUUCUCACAUUUCCUCCAAACUGGUCUCUUAACACAGUGUCUCUUACUGUAUCCUGUGAAAAUGCAGGCAAAUGUUCCAGACCACAUCUUGGCAGUUGAACAUUUCUUAUCUGGAGCUGCUGGUUAAAGCAAUCAAGAUAGCGCUGAUCAACGACCAUUAUUACGGUGCUUUAGACUGGAGGAUACUGCUGCCAUAAUUAUAGUUUCUGUGUUACUGGUGGAAUAUGUAUUAUUGGCCUCGUAGGCAUUUUGUGAUUCAAACGGCUCAAUGUCUUCAUGUAAAGCUUGUCACUUACUUUUCUCAAAGGUAAGCUUCCUAGAUUUUUCUGAGAAGAGCUACUUCCUCAUUGGCAACACUUGAACUUUUAUAGAAAAGCAAGUAAAUUAGAAGCCCUUUAAAAUAAAUGUAGUAAUUGUGUACAAGAGGAUGCAACCUUACUAUGUAUAAACUUACAUGAUAUUUGGAAAUAACUAUAAAUAGGAAAUGACAUUAAGGCACAGAAUGUAAAAGGCAUGAACCCAGGAGGGUUCUGCAGAAAUUAAGCCUGAUUUACUUGUAAAACUGAUACCAGUUUGAGCGCAUCAGUUAGAGACAGGGUUUUUUUUCUGACAGUUACAGUAUUCUGAGCUCUAGAAUAGAGACAGUUACCCAAAUGUAACUGGGGUUGCUGAUGUAUAUAUGCUGGUUCACAAAACUAGCAUCAGCAAAGCAAAAUUGUUCCAGCAUUGCAUUUGCACUGGAUUUGACAAAGCACUCCUCUAGUGUAAUCAAGGUCUUAUUCUAGAAAUCCACACAAUUUAGUGGAGGUUUAAUCUUUCUAUAAAGUUUUUAAACCAUCCUACAGAAUUCUGUAACAGGGAUAUCAUUUUGUAUCUUUCAUAGGGGAGGAUUAACGAAAGCCCUACAGUAAGGGUAUCAUGUCUUUACAUUAUACAGGGCUUAGCCAUUAGCUUUUUCUUUCAGCAGGAACCCUAGUCUUCCAGGUUAUAUGCAAAUGUUAAAAGAAAAUAAGACUUAAAUGAAAAUUAGAAGUUUAAUACUGAUGCAUAGAGCAUUUUGCAUGUUUUUAUAUAGAUCUGGCUUAUUCUUAAAAAUGAGUGGGGCCUCCUAAAUGUGCUGUACACAUUCCUAGUAUUUUAAUGGCUUUUGAUACAAACGAGCUAUCUUUGGCAUGAGGAAAUCUUAUACAGCCCUCAAAUGAGUAGUGGCUGUUUAAAGAUUGGAAUAUGAAGUGUAAUGCAGCGUAAAUACUUACAUUGCAAGAGUAAUUGGUGAACUUUGCCAAGCAGUAAAGAAUAACCUAUUUUAAUGGGAAUAAUUAAAUUGAAAGUCAUCAAAUAGACAAUGUAAAAGCUUUGAUUAGAAUGUAAUUAGAAUUACGAAAGACUUAAUGAAAUGAAAUUUGUGGAGGGAUCUGUGGGCACUGUAAUUACCAGUGCAGAGUCAGCGUAUGGAAGGCUUUUUUGUGGAUCAGUGUAUUUUAAUCUCAUGCUUUCUCAGUGUGAAGGAAAUGUAACGUUGUAACACACCAAUAAAACAACACAUGAAUGUGGGUUUAUA